GAUUUUUUUUUUUUUUUUUUGACAAAAGGGAUCACUGGAUUCAGUUUGACUUUUUCUGUCAAUUUAUAAGUAGUAUUGCCAAUCAAACAAAUAAAAAAAUCUUAAUCUUUUAGUUUAAUUAACAUAAAUCUGAUCUAAAACUUAAUGAAAGACAACGAUGAUAAUCCAGUGCAAUGAAGUUCAGACUUUCUCCUAGAUAAUGUCAGGAUUAUAAGUACUAAUCCCAAUAAAGCUAAGUAACAAAUACAACACACCUUUCCUUCAAACAACGAUGCA
rnacentral:misc_RNA from 1 species